GAUGAACGCUGGCGGCGUGCCUAAUACAUGCAAGUCGAGCGAACGGACGAGAAGCUUGCUUCUCUGAUGUUAGCGGCGGACGGGUGAGUAACACGUGGAUAACCUACCUAUAAGACUGGGAUAACUUCGGGAAACCGGAGCUAAUACCGGAUAAUAUUUUGAACCGCAUGGUUCAAAAGUGAAAGACGGUCUUGCUGUCACUUAUAGAUGGAUCCGCGCUGCAUUAGCUAGUUGGUAAGGUAACGGCUUACCAAGGCAACGACGCAUAGCCGACCUGAGAGAGUGAUCGGCCACACUGGAACUGAGACACGGUCCAGACUCCUACGGGAGGCAGCAGUAGGGAAUCUUACGCAAUGGGCGAAAGCCUGACGGAGCAACGCCGCGUGAGUGAUGAAGGUCUUCGGAUCGUAAAACUCUGUUAUUAGGGAAGAACAGAUGUGUAAGUAACUGUGCACAUCUUGACGGUACCUAAUCAGAAAGCCACGGCUAACUACGUG
rnacentral:rRNA from 1 species